GCUUCCUUCCUGUCCAAUUGUGUGAUUGUGAGAAACAGCUGCAGUGAUUUCUUUUCUUAUGUGGAGUGAGGAACAGCCGCAAUAUUGCUGCACCGAUUUCAUCCAGUACAGGGGAAGUACAUUUCCAAGGGAAACUUACUACAUACAAUACUAAAUGAAGAGGACAGUAUCCAGAUUGGUUGGUGAAGUCAUUGUUUUGACUAAGCCUAUUGGCUUGACGGUUUGAUGUAAGAGCUUUAAACUGGAAACAUUAUCCAAAAGAACUUUAUCAUGCUACUCUGUCCGUAUCAAACAGAUGCCUUCUGUCUAUGCUUAUUUACCUCUCCUGCUAAGUGUCAUGCCAUCUUAUUUGAAGAAAACAAACUGUACUGAGUGCUGUUAAACAAAGACAUCUUUUUACUAGAACACCUGCACAGACGGGUCAACUGGGGAAUUUCCAUCUCAAAUCAUCUUGCUAUUUUGGAGAGAAAUGCAUUUAACUCAACAUUUCUGCGCCAAGUGGUUUACUUGUUCAAUGCAGUGAGCUGUAUAUCAUUUUAAUUUAUAUAUUCACAUCUGCAUUCUGUUUAACAAUUUUGUACUAUCUGUAAAAACUGAAGCAGGUUAACAGACUGUACAACAAAAUUCUGGAUUAUAGCAGUACUGCAUUUUUUAAAUUUUUUUGUACUUAGCACAGCCUGCAAUAUUCCAUAAAAUUAUUAUAUGUUGAAGAGAUGUGAAAAUGUAUAAAGCAUGCUGUGUCUGUGCAUUUUGUAUAACAAUACA